rnacentral:tRNA from 1 species
UCCCAGGGGGCUCAGUGGGAAAGAGUCCGCCUGCCAGUGCAGGAGACUCAGGUUCGAUCCCUGAUCUGGGAA